rfam:Cavia porcellus supercont2_55 genomic scaffold, whole genome shotgun sequence.
UGGGAUUUAGCUCAGUGGCAUAAGCACCUGCCUUGCAAGCAGGUGGUGGUGAGUUCGAUCCUCAGUACCAA